GACAGCCUCAAUUUAGGUAGAUUUUUUAUGAAAAGAUGGGAAUUUCAAUAGCGUCCAGUGUUCAAGGUCACUGUUUGAAUGCAGAAUUUAGUUGGCAUGGGUUUUUUAAAUUUAUUCGAGUGGAGAUCGUGAACAAGUGCACAUCGGAAAAAAACUGAGUAUUGAAAGUUAAUACCAAGUGAAGUUGAAUUGAACAUCUUAACAAGGUAGUGAUUAAAAUAAGUUCAAACGUUUUGAGAAUUAAUUAUUAAAUUAAUUUAGGUACGGCAGAGCCAAGUGAUAGGCAAAUCUUUAAAUUGAAUAGGGUUGCGAAAAACACGUGCUGGAAAAACCCAACUCACGGGUAAGAAUAAGUUUGGUUUCUUGAAUUCAAAAGUGGUGAUUAGAUUGGAUUUCAAAUCAAUGUAGGCCCAAAAGAUCUCUAUCGGGAUUUAGCUGUUCUGGAAAGACAGGACGAGCUGGCUAAAACCGUAUUCGCUGGUAUUACCCCCACUGCUCAACGUGGGUGCCAGUCUGGGACCAGAAAGUUGUUCGGAUACCCGUUAAACAUCCGAUAAGCAAUCCAGAAGGACCACCCUAAUCGCUUUCCCUCCUGACAAGCCACCCCACUCCCAUCCGGGGAAAUUCUGAGUGGAAGCGUUUGGGAGCAUCGUCUACUACCGCAUUACUAGAGACGGCCGCGCCACUGGUGGCCAACAUAGGAACCAGCAGUAUUCUCCAAGCGUUUCACUGCUCGACACGUCACACGGGUUGCCUACCUAAUAGCGCGACAUAAUCAACCGAUCCGCUCGAUAGCCGAAUCUGCUGGAAUCGCCGACCAGGGGUCUGCAUCACGUUAGUGCACACGGAGCAGGAAUUGUGCAACACUACGCUCGUUCAGUUGGAUGUACGGUGCCCGCUGAUCGAAGCCCGUCUUCGUAUUCAAGUCCAAUAUCACCUGCCAGCCUUUCCGACACCCGGCCAAGUCCCAUUGGUCGCUGCGUUACGACUACUACCACCACGCUCUUUCAGUUGGAUGAAUGGUGCCCGCUGAUCGAUGCCCUUCAUCACGCUCGUUUGAAUAUCAACCCGCCAUUCCGACUCGGGCCCAGUCCUAUUGGUAUCUGGGUUAACGAGUACCACGCCAUCUACCACGAUUUCACCACCAAGACGCUUCCCGCCACGCUGCUUCCGAUUGCUGCUGCCGAUCUUCUGCGCCAAAACAGGAUAACAGGUCAGAUCUGAUUUUUUUUAUGAACCAUAAUGAGCUCGAAAAACUCCAUGUAAAGCAAGUGACGUCACUUAGGUAAAUUUAAAAACUAGAAUAUAGAACAUGUUGAAUUCAG
rnacentral:lncRNA from 1 species